AGCUAAAAUUCAAGUAAUGGACUAUUUGGAUGAUAGCGUGCCCGGAAUUGGUUCCUUCCGAUAUUCUUGGUCUCGCUGACUUUAACAAUGAAGCCUCAGACCAUUGCGCACAGUCCAGUGUUAAGACAGGGCAUGAGGACCAGCUCCACUGGAAACACCAGCCAGCGUCUUAACCGGGGAGGAAGGAAGGUGUGUGCUGGGCAAGUGGGGCAUGUGACAAAGUGGAACUGAAGUGGCCGUCGCUUGCCUUUAGGCCAGCAGUAAUGGCGAGGUUGGAGCACUCUGGCCAGGCUCCCUGUCCAAGAUCCUUCAGCCUCAUCCUAAGGUUCCUCAGCAGCCUUUGCUCAUAGGCUGGCUUAACUAUGAUCCUGCUGUGGGAAGAUAAAAAAACUGACCGAAGGAGAUAGGCUGAGUAAUGGCUCCCUCAAGAUGUCCAUAUUUCAUCCCUGGAACCUGUGAAUACAUUUCUUUAUGUGGCAAAAGGGACUUUGUGGCUGUGAUUAAACUAAGAACCUUGAAAUGAGGAGAUUCUCCGGGAUCGUCCAGAUGCAUCAAAUGUAACAAGAAGGAGUCAGAGUCAGGCUGGAAGCCGCUAUGCUGCUGGCUUUGAAGGCAGAUGAAGGGGCCAAGGAAUUAGGGUGGUCUCUAGAAUCUGGAAAAGGCAAUGAAAUUGAUUCUCCCCUAGAGCUUUCAGAAGGAAUGCAGCCUUGCCCACACCUUCAUUUUAGACCAGUGAAACUGAUUUUAGACUUCUGACUGCCAGAACUGUAAGAUAAUAAAUGUAUAUUGUUUGAAGCU
ensembl:lncRNA novel transcript